rnacentral:tRNA from 9 species
GCUCUUGUAGCUCAGGGGUAGAGCACUUCCUUGGUAAGGAAGAGGUCGCGAGUUCAAUUCUCGCCAAGAGCUCCA